rnacentral:rRNA from 1 species
CUGGAUUCAGCGGCGGACGGGUGAGUAAUGCCUAGGAAUCUGCCUGGUAGUGGGGGAUAACGUCCGGAAACGGGCGCUAAUACCGCAUACGUCCUGAGGGAGAAAGUGGGGGAUCUUCGGACCUCACGCUAUCAGAUGAGCCUAGGUCGGAUUAGCUAGUUGGUGGGGUAAAGGCCUACCAAGGCGACGAUCCAUAACUGGUCUGAGAGGAUGAUCAGUCACACUGGAACUGAGACACGGUCCAGACUCCUACGGGAGGCAGCAGUGGGGAAUAUUGGACAAUGGGCGAAAGCCUGAUCCAGCCAUGCCGCGUGUGUGAAGAAGGUCUUCGGAUUGUAAAGCACUUUAAGUUGGGAGGAAGGGCAGUAAGUUAAUACCUUGCUGUUUUGACGUUACCAACAGAAUAAGCACCGGCUAACUUCGUGCCAGCAGCCGCGGUAAUACGAAGGGUGCAAGCGUUAAUCGGAAUUACUGGGCGUAAAGCGCGCGUAGGUGGUUCAGCAAGUUGGAUGUGAAAUCCCCGGGCUCAACCUGGGAACUGCAUCCAAAA